GGGUACUCCCGGACACCUCUAGAGAUUUUGGUGACUUUGUGUAGUGUUUGCCCCAUUAGCUAAUGUAGAAGGCAUGUUAUGAUUUGUUAGUCUAGCAUUUGGUUUAACAUUCCUGGAUGUUUAUAUGCUAAUAUGGGUUAACUUGUGGCUAGGUAACGAGCCGGUCUUUUAGGAGGUGCCGAAACCGUAAGUUUGGCAUACUCCAGUCGAAUGAAAGGUAGCAGGUGGCUUAGAGUGGGUCCACUACUGGUCAACGCUUUGGAGAGUGCUGAGACUAGUCUCGGGUGAUGUCGUUGGUUAGAUUGUUGUGUAGCUGAUUCGUCUAGAAGUUAACCUAAAUGUUUGUAAUUAAUUGGAGCGAGGGAUAUUUAUUAUAACUUGUGAGUUGAGGUUUUGGGCGUUGAAUUGGUUGUAUUUUAAGUAAGAAGUCUUCCGCUAAUUUGUAUUC